rnacentral:rRNA from 1 species
AGUCGCACGAGAAGCCUGGCUUCGGCCGGGCCGGUAAAGUGGCGAACGGGUGAGUAACACGUGGACAAUCUACCCUUGAAUUCGGGAUAAUCCCUCGAAAGGGGGUCUAAUACCGGAUAAUAUUAUUGGUGGGCAUCCACCGAUAAUCAAAGGCGGGGCAACCUGCCGUUUAGGGAUGAGUCCGCGCUCCAUUAGCUUGUUGGUGAGGUAACGGCUCACCAAGGCUACGAUGGAUAGCCGGCCUGAGAGGGUGAUCGGCCACACUGGGACUGAGAUACGGCCCAGACUCCUACGGGAGGCAGCAGUAGGGAAUAUUGCGCAAUGGACGCAAGUCUGACGCAGCAACGCCGCGUGGGUGAUGAAGCAUCUUGGUGCGUAAAACCCUGUCAGUGGGGAAGAAACGUAUUGGGAGUAACUGCCCGAUACUUGACGGUACCCACAGAGGAAGCACCGGCUAACUCCGUGCCAGCAGCCGCGGUAAUACGGGGGGUGCAAGCGUUGUUCGGAUUUACUGGGCGUAAAGGGCGCGUAGGCGGACCUUCAAGUCGGAUGUGAAAACUGGCAGCUUAACUGCAAGCCUGCAUUCGAUACUGUCGGUCUUGAGUACAGUAGGGGAAAGCGGAAUUCCAGGUGUAGCGGUGAAAUGCGUAGAUAUCUGGAAGAACACCGGUAGCGAAGGCGGCUUUCUGGGCUGAUACUGACGCUGAAGCGCGAAGGCUAGGGUAGCAAACAGGAUUAGAUACCCUGGUAGUCCUAGCGGUAAACGAUGGGUACUAGGGGGUCGGGGGUAUCGACCCCCCUCGGUGUCGCAGCUACGCAUUAAGUACCCCGCCUGGGGGAGUACGAUCGC